AUGGAGAGUUUGAUCCUGGCUCAGAAGGAACGCUGGCAGCGUGCAUAACACAUGCAAGUCGAACGCGAAAGAAUCCUUCGGGAUUUGGACGAGUGGCGAACGGGUGAGGAACACGUAAGAAUCUACCUUUCGGUUGGGGAUAACUUCUGGAAACGGGAGCUAAUACCCAAUAUGCUGUGGAGUGAAAGAAUUUCGCCGAGAGACGAUCUUGCGUCUGAUUAGCUUGUUGGGGUGGUAAUGGCACACCAAGGCGACGAUCAGUAGCUGGUCUGAGAGGAUGGACAGCCACAUUGGGACUGAGACACGGCCCAGACU
rnacentral:rRNA from 14 species